GACGAACGCUGGCGGCGUGCCUAAUACAUGCAAGUAGGACGCAGUUGCGAACGGGUGAGUAACGCGUAGGUAACUACCUAUUAGAGGGGGAUAACUAUUGGAAACGAUAGCUAAUACCGCAUACUAGUAGAUGGACCUGCGUUGUAUUAGAUAGUAGGUUGGGUAAUGGCCUACCUAGGCAACGAUACAUCGCCGACCUGGAAGGGUUAUCGGGCAACCUGGGACGGCGAAACGGCCCAGAAUCCUACGGGAGGCAGCAGGAGGGAAUCUUCGGAAAUGGGGGGAACCCUGACCGAGCAAAGGCGCGUGAGUGAAGAAGGGUUUCGGAUCGUAAAGCUCUGUUGUUAAGGAAGCGGUACUUAACCAGAAAGGGACGGCUAACUACGUGCCAGCAGCCGCGGUAAUAC
rnacentral:rRNA from 1 species